UUCUACGGAGUUUGUGCAACGUUUUCACUUUUAAUAUAUUAUUUCUUUGCUUUCCUGACUAACGGAGUCAGUUUGGGACGUGUUUUGGUGGAAUAGUUUCUCCAAGGACGUGGAAGUCAGGACUCAGGAGGACAUCGGGGAGUUUCCCACUUCGUCUCCUUUACAUUGAGAUUUUUUGUUAUUUUGUAAAGAAAAACGUUGUUUUUACAUCCAGCUCUGGGAUUCUAAGUUACAUUUAGAGUAAUGGGUGAAUUUCAGGGUGAUACUUGCUGUGAACUCUCUGAAUUUGUAACAUCUAAAAGUUUCCAAUAUGGCGACGGACCUUCUGUCUUCCCUGGCCGAGCUGAGGGAGGCUGGAGGGUGGAUCUACGGGACGUAACGUACCAGAAGAAUUACGCAUUUUUUCAGACAACGGAAGUAACAACACCGAUGUACACCAGGUCAUGCGUGUGUUUGGAUCCAGUUUGGAUCCUUCAGAGCUGCGGUUCUCCUGACGCUGGACGUUGGUGGGAGUUCGGUCUGAGCAGAACCACAUCUACUAUUCUAAGAAAGUACUCAUGAAUCAGUGCUUCUCUGCUCUGGGGGUUUGAGAGAACAGUCAGUUGAGGCAGAUGACCGCUCAUCCUGAGCCUGGUUCUGGUUCUGCUGGAGGUUUCCUGUUGAAAGGGAGUUUUUCCUCUCCACUGUCGCUACAUGCUCAUCCAGGAGGAGUUAAUGCUGCAAGUCACCGACUCCAUGGGAAAGUAAAUAAUCAAAGAACAGGGGCCUCAUGUACGAAAGAGUGCACAGAGCGCAGCUUUCAUACUAAGAGUUGGUGGUAGAGAGAAAUUAUGAAACUUGUGGUACACAAAAGAAUUUAGAUGGACGUAGCCUUCAUACAUCCCAAUUUGUGGUGAAUUUUGCGCAGCUUCACGUGAUGCUGGAACCCAUAAAUAAUAUGCAAAGCAGUAUAAAUAACCAGAAGGCACCCAUCAUGGGUCCAAAUAACCAUGGUAACAGGGGCGCUCAGAAAGGCAAGAAAGAGGAAACUUACUGGAAGUGAUGGUCUGGCCCCACAGAGCCCUGAUCCCAACCUCAUGGAGUGUGUCUGGGAUGACAUGAAGAGACAGAAGGAUGUGAGAAAGCCUCCAUCUACAGAAGAUCUGUGGUUAGUUCUCCAAGAUGUUUAGAACAACCUACCAGCCGAGUUCCUUCAAAAACUGUACAAGUGGACCUAGAAUUAGUUCUGUAAAGGUUUUCAUGGGUCAGUUAAAACAAAUAACCAGUUCAUUUGUGCCUCUUUUAUGCUCAUCAGCAAAGACUCUUGUAUGUCUGAAACAAGAUGUUGAAACCUGAAGAUCAACAGAAAAACCUGACUAAAUGUUUGGGUUUCAAUGUCGAAGUGAACCAACCUUCAUAGACAAUACAGAAAAUAUUCUGACCAAGUUAGCCACUAGAUGGCGACAUUGUUAACGGAUUCAUUUAAUUUUACUGCUUUAAAUCGGUUCUAGAUUAACAUUAAUUUUUACCUCGUCUUUCCUGCUGGAACGUGUUUGAUAUAAUCCUGUCAGUGUUUUAACACAGACAGACUUUUGGAUUAUGAAACAUUCAUUUCAUUGAAAUGAUAGAAAAAUAAAAUCCAACAUUUAGUUUUUUAUCAUUAGUUUGUUGUUCAAAUAAAGAACUACAAAUUAAAAUCCCUUCUCUACUUAAAGCAGCCAGAAACAAACAUUUAUCUUCAUGUCUUACCUGAAAAUAUUGCGUUAUAGUGGUUUGGUUUUUAUUUUUUGAGUUGGACAGAGACAGGUUAGUUUUAAGUCUUUUUCUCAGGUUUAGCUGAGAAAAAGACUUAAAACUUUUUCUCAGCUAAACUUUUCAAACAUCAGAUGUUUGAAAAACUGUCAGUGCUCCUGUAUGAACAUGAAUGUUUAUUUUUCUAAUUAGAUUGUUUCUAAAAAUACACGAUAUACAGAUGAAUAUACACUGAAAACAGAGUCAAUGACAUUUGUAACGCAAAACUUUGACGCAAUUACUAUUGAAUCUAAAAUACUGGCUGCUAGUUAUGAUUAAAUGUGAAAAUAAAAGAUUUUUCAGGAGGGCAUUUAAAAUGAAGAUUUAUCUGCAACACUGAAAAUAAAAUUGAGGAUGUAUUUAUUCAUGAGAAAAUAGGAAGCACAUUUUAGCCCCUUGGUCUUAAAACAGAACUACAAAAUAGUAAUUUAUCCUAAAAACACAAAAGAAUCACAUCACUGUUUUUGUGGUAUUAAAUAUAUAUACAGAUAAAAACAGUGUGAAACAUUUAUGCAAUUAGUGCUGGAAAACAUUGCAUAGCAGUUUUAAAUCACAUCCAUUACAGCAUAAUAGGAUGGAAUUAUAUAAAGUGGCAAAUGAUAUAUAGCUUGAAAGUGCUAGAGUAAAAGGCACAGACAGAAAAGUAAUGUUUCUAAAGUUCAGCAUACAUUUUAACACCGUUUUUCAGGAAGACGUGUUUGUGCAUGGAGUUUGCAUGUUCUCCUGUACAUGCGUGGGCUCUUUGCAGGCCCAGUGUGUGGCACAUAGCUGGAUUUAACAACACGCAUACAAUGUAAACAGUCUAGUAAAUAUAUAAAACUUCAAAGUAGUAAAAGCAGCAUAUAGUGAAUAUGUUACAGCAGAAGGUUAGAUACUCUAUAUUUCCAGAAGUAUGUCUACUUUUACAUGAACUUUAAUGACACCCUAUUCUUAAUCUAUGAGGUAAAAUAUGUUGAUGGAACCCCUUCCAACCACUGUGGUAACAUCUUCCUCAAGGUGUAGGAGUGUGGUCAUAAUCAGAUGAGAAAACCACAACUCCAAUUCAUCUCAAAAGGUGUUCAAGAAGGUUGAGGUCAGGACUGGGCAGCCAAGUCAAGUUGUGUGACCCAAUACUUUUGGCUAUAUAGUAUCUUUGGUACAGAAGCACCAGGAGGUUCAUGAGGUCAAAGGUUCUCCAGACAUCCUUCAGCUCCUCCUCUGGUAUUAGAUCUGUGAACAAAACAGACGUUCAGAUCUAAAUAUUCAAACAAAAAUCUGAUAACCGCUGCCAGCUUCACUACUGGGAAUUCUAAUGCUGAAACCCAGUAUUCAUGAGAAACAGAAGAGAAUGCUGUGGAGAGGAUGUGAGGGGUCAGAGGUCAGCCUCCUGUCUGCUUUGCCCAUUUUCAUAGUUAAAUUAAAUUACCUUUUAAAUCUCGUACCCUGAUCACUGAUUUUGUGCCGGAUUAUUAACAAAACCUCACCUCUGGAAGUUUUCUUCUUCAUUAAGUGUUCAUUUAAGCAUAAGUUUCUGGUUCCUGACUCAAUGAACGAUAAAAAGGCACAUGCUGAGGUUUUAAGGUCAAAUAGUUCAGUCCCUCCCAGAGUUACACCUCAGAAAGACAUCCUGUAAAGGAUAGAGUGAACCGAGACAGACUGGGAAUUCUGGGAUACGUCGUUUCUCCUUAGUAAACAGACACAGAGGUCCCCUUGCUGCUGUUACAGUUUAAAAUGGCUCCAAUGUUAAAGUUUCUCUUUUUCUUUCCACAUAUUAGGGGUUCUAAGCCUUUAAAGAAAAGAAUAAUCCCACCCACUCCAGUAAACCUGACUGGGAUUAAUGCCCAGUUAGUGUAUGUAUGUUUAUGUCAUUUGUUAAAAGCUGUUAGUAUUUUUUUUUAUCUUUUUGUUGUUUCAGAUCAAACAAAUUUACAUUUUAAAUAUAAGCUGUUAAAAUAAAA